CCUACGGGCGGCAGCAGUGAGGAAUAUUGGGCAAUGGAGGCAACUCUGACCCAGCCAUGCCGCGUGAGUGAAGAAGGUUUUCGGAUUGUAAAGCUCUUUCGGAUGUGACGAUGAUGACGGUAGCAUCUAAAGACGCCCCGGCUAACUUCGUGCCAGCAGCCGCGGUACUACGUAGGGGGCAAGCGUUGUUCGGAAUUACUGGGCGUAAAGGGAGUGUAGGCGGUUUAGAAAGGUAGUGGGGAAAUCCCAGUGCUUAACUUUGGAUUUGCCAUUAUAACUAUUAGACUAGAAUGACAGAGGGGAUAGUGGAAUACCCAGUGUAGAGGUGAAAUUCGUAGAUAUAGGGUAGAACACCAGUGGCGAAGGCGACUAUCUGGCUGUACACUGACGCUGAGGCUCGAAAGCAUGGGGAGCAAACAGGAUUAGAUACCCGUGUAGUC
rnacentral:rRNA from 1 species